UACAGAGGUCUCAAGCGUUGUUCGGAUUCAUUGGGCGUAAAGGGUGCGUAGGCGGCGCGGUAAGUCGGGUGUGAAAUCUUGGAGCUUAACUCCGAAACUGCAUUCGAUACUGCCGUGCUUGAGGACUGGAGAGGAGACUGGAAUUUACGGUGUAGCGGUGAAAUGCGUAGAUAUCGUAAGGAAGACCAGUGGCGAAGGCGGGUCUCUGGGACAGUUCCUGACGCUGAGGCACGAAGGCCAGGGGAGCAAACGGG
rnacentral:rRNA from 1 species